AGGGUAUAGGGGUUUAUACCCCCUCAGCGGACGCCCUAGGAUCAAGGGCGGGUGCCCCGGCCUCGGGCCCGUCUCGGCUCCGCUUCGGUCGAGUUGCUUCUAGAAUCUUCCUGAUUAUGGAAAAUUACCGCACACAUUAAUUCUCUAUGUAAACCCGACGUGUGGGCCUUUCCUUCGUAUUUCCUGAUAACCCCCUGUAGAAAUAGACAAACACCAAAACUCGUAGAAAUCUGUCAGAUGAAACCCUAAGUCUAGGUGUUAGUUGCAUUUGGAUCCUUUUUCAUGAUUAGUUGACGGUUAAAUGUGAGCAUUAAGGACCGUCAACAAGCUCCCCCAAGCUUAACAUUUGCUCGUCCCUGAGCAAAGAUGGACUCAUGAGUUUCUGCAGUGGUUUCAUGCUUAAAGGUACACAUGCGUUCAAACAAGAUCUCAUCUCUAGGUUAGGGUAAACUGUUAAGAUUUAAACUUACUCAUUUUACCUUCCACUAUGGGGCUUGCAACCGUCACUUAUGUAUUGAGCAGUUAAAAGAUAGAACGGUCUAGUCAAGCGCCAUGUCUCUUGUUCUUCGAUUAACUAUAGCUCUGGAGUUUUUGUAGAUUUUCAAAUAAAACUCAGAGAUUCCUUGUAUGACUCUCUUUAGUCUCUCUUUUGUGGUAUUUCUGGAUCCUUAUCAAGGCAGUAAUGGUGUAUGCCUUCUCUCAAAGUAUGUGGUCUUUUUGGUAUGAGGCAUAGUGGUAUUGCCUUCUCUCUCACCCUACUCUAAUAAGGUUUUGACAUCUGGAGCUCAUAGGUGGGAGACAGCUAAUACAUACUUACAAGACACUUAUUGCAUAGUCAAACCAUGGAUCUAGAAGAACAAGUCAAUAAGUCAAAUCAAGAUGUGCAUGUGUGGCGAAUGAAUUGUGAUAAUGGUGAAAGUCUAAUUCUAAUUUUGCUCUUUUGAGGAGGUACAUACCUUUCUUGCACUUGAGGCUUUUGAGGGGAAUGAGACGCUCUAUAUUUUAUUUUUCUUUUCUCUCAGGUGGGUAUCUUGUACCCCUAAUUCUACUGUCGCACACUUGUCCAUUUUUACCUCUCGUCUCACUUUUUCUUUUUCUUUUUUUCUUCUUUUUUUUGAGGUUUCGGGCACUUGCCCCUUUUUAUUUUCUCGUAUUCACACUUUUUUUCCUUUCAGAGCACUCACCCUUCUGGAAUAAUGUAGCAAGUGGUAGUAACCAAAAUAUCUCGAGCAUUUAUUUCACGGGGAAUAACAGGGAUAGGAUAAUGUUUUUGGCUAUUCUCUCCUAGAUAGGAGUAGAAUAAUUUUGGAUGAAUCUGGAUAUAGAAAUGAGUGGAUGUAUGUGGAUGCGUACUUCUGGAGUAGAAGCAGCAUGUAUGAGUGAACGUGCAAGUGAAUCUUGAUUUUAACCGCAUGACAAGCUCCUAAGGGUCUACACAGCUUGACCACACCCAAUGCUCAUAAGUAGUAAAAAGUAAAUGUAUGGUUCAUAGUUUAAUAAGCUUGUAUAUAUGGCUGUGGUAGGAUUUUAAACUCUCAUCAUACAGGAACUCAUCAUGCAACGUUUUAAAGAUUUUCAAAGAUAAAAUUCUCCAGAAUUCUAGCAUCUCUAGGAAUAGAUAAACAGCAGCUCAACCUUCCCAUAUCAUAUCUGUUAACGACUUAGACUUUUGAUCAGGUACUCUUCCCGCAAAUUCAGAUUUAGAGCAAGCUUUAAAUUAUAACAGUUAUGUCUAAACUUGAGAGAGAGCUCAAAUUUGAAAACUAGGUACUUGGCAGAGCAACUAUUCAUCAUAUCCAUGUAAAAGUUUAUCAUUGAAGUUCAGUUUGGCAUAGACACUUUAUUUAUUUAUUUAGCAAACUAAGCAAAGAUAUAUAUAAGCACAAAAUGUUUAAUUGGGUUUUUAUGAUUAUGUAUUUUUUUAUUAUUUGAGUAAAGUAUAAAUGUGAGUAGAAACACUUAACUGGAUAAAUGGGGGUGCUCUCCCCCAAGCUGGAUUUUAACGUAAUUUCUUCUCAUGUAGCUAGCAGGUGGCGUAGGUGUAUUUAAAUGUUGGCAGCACCUGAUAGCGAUUAGGAUAUCCUCCGUCUGCUUGUCUUCCUUGAUCCUUGAAUUCUAUGGAGCUCAAAUAGACAACAAAGCUUUGUGGAACUGGUUAAGUGUUAGCAUAAAAUCUCUUAGCCUUUAUCAUGUUGAGCUUCCUCUAAUAAAUAUUACUCUCUUUAGUAGGAUCAUAAAUUUAUUUUUAUAUUUUCAUUUUUACAGGACAAGAAUAUAUUUAUUUUAUUUUUACGCCACCAUAGUGAAUGAGUUUUAUGCCACGAGCAUACUCACAUGGGGCUUACUGUUUUUAACAUUUUUAUUUUCUUUUCAAGAUAGCAUGAUUAACUAACAAGCUAUUUAAGGAAAGUAAAUAAUUUAAGAAAAAAAGGGAAUGCAGAAAGGAUAAAUAUGGAUAACUACCGAUUUUACCUUUCGGCGAGGGUUCAAUGUUUUAAGUCUUCUGAACAAGACUUCUCACCGUGUUCAUUUGAGUUAGGUGUGUCAUUUGAGUUAGGUGUGGACCUUGACAUCUGCACCUCUUGAUAUGAUGUCAUCCAAGUUUUUCGUUUGCCCGGCAGUUCGAAGUGCGGCGUUGGCAGCAUCCUCCUCAGUGUGUUUGUGCUCGUAGAUCUAGGUCCUUCACUUGGUAGAGUCUGGGAGUUGGAAAACUCCUCCAUGUUUUGCUCGAAGUGUAUCCUGCUCAUAGAGACAAGCCAGAGAUCAAGUGCAUGGGCCCUGUUGGUGGAAAACACCAACAGAACCAAAAGUGUAUUUGUUCUUCUCUAACCUUAAGCAUAGUGAGCAAGACAAAGUUGAUGGAUGACAAGAUGAUGAGUGUAGCAUUUAAAACAUUUGUCAGAUCAGAUCACUCAACCUUAUGGAAAGAUAAUCUAUCUAAGUAAAUGUUUUUUUCUUUACAUGACUAUCAUUUUUCAAAGAUCGGAUGUGCAACAUUUUAGCUCAUAUGGUUA
rnacentral:lncRNA from 1 species